rnacentral:rRNA from 1 species
UUUAUGGAGAGUUUGAUCCUGGCUCAGGAUGAACGCUGGCGGCGUGCCUAAUACAUGCAAGUCGAGCGAACGGACGAGAAGCUUGCUUCUCUGAUGUUAGCGGCGGACGGGUGAGUAACACGUGGAUAACCUACCUAUAAGACUGGGAUAACUUCGGGAAACCGGAGCUAAUACCGGAUAAUAUUUUGAACCGCAUGGUUCAAAAGUGAAAGACGGUCUUGCUGUCACUUAUAGAUGGAUCCGCGCUGCAUUAGCUAGUUGGUAAGGUAACGGCUUACCAAGGCAACGAUGCAUAGCCGACCUGAGAGGGUGAUCGGCCACACUGGAACUGAGACACGGUCCAGACUCCUACGGGAGGCAGCAGUAGGGAAUCUUCCGCAAUGGGCGAAAGCCUGACGGAGCAACGCCGCGUGAGUGAUGAAGGUCUUCGGAUCGUAAAACUCUGUUAUUAGGGAAGAACAUAUGUGUAAGUAACUGUGCACAUCUUGACGGUACCUAAUCAGAAAGCCACGGCUAACUACGUGCCAGCAGCCGCGGUAAUACGUAGGUGGCAAGCGUUAUCCGGAAUUAUUGGGCGUAAAGCGCGCGUAGGCGGUUUUUUAAGUCUGAUGUGAAAGCCCACGGCUCAACCGUGGAGGGUCAUUGGAAACUGGAAAACUUGAGUGCAGAAGAGGAAAGUGGAAUUCCAUGUGUAGCGGUGAAAUGCGCAGAGAUAUGGAGGAACACCAGUGGCGAAGGCGACUUUCUGGUCUGUAACUGACGCUGAUGUGCGAAAGCGUGGGGAUCAAACAGGAUUAGAUACCCUGGUAGUCCACGCCGUAAACGAUGAGUGCUAAGUGUUAGGGGGUUUCCGCCCCUUAGUGCUGCAGCUAACGCAUUAAGCACUCCGCCUGGGGAGUACGACCGCAAGGUUGAA